CAAAAAGGCAUCUUUUUGUUUUUAAAAGACCUUCUUACGAAGGUAUGCUUAAAGAGGGGCUUGCGCCCCAUUAGUUAGUUGGUAGAGUAAAAGCCUACCAAGACGAUGAUGUGUAGCUGGACUGAGAGGUUGAACAGCCACAUUGGGACUGAGACACGGCCCAAACUCCUACGGGAGGCAGCAGUAGGGAAUUUUCGGCAAUGGAGGAAACUCUGACCGAGCAACGCCGCGUGAACGAUGAAGUAUUUCGGUAUGUAAAGUUCUUUUAUUGAAGAAGAAAAAGUAGUGGAAAAACUAUAUUGACGUUAUUCAAUGAAUAAGCCCCGGCUAACUAUGUGCCAGCAGCCGCGGUAAGACAUAGGGGGCGAGCGUUAUCCGGAAUUAUUGGGCGUAAAGGGUGCGUAGGCUGUUAGAUAAGUCUAUAAUUUAAUUUCAGUGCUUAACGCUGUCUUGUUAUAGAAACUGUCUUGACUAGAGUGAGAUAGAGGCAAGCGGAAUUCCAUGUGUAGCGGUAAAAUGUGUAAAUAUAUGGAGGAACACCAGAAGCGUAGGCGGCUUGCUGGGUCUUUACUGACGCUGAGGCACGAAAGCGUGGGUAGCAAACAGGAUUAGAUACCCUGGUAGUCCACGCCGUAAACGAUGAGUACUAAGUGUCGGGGUAAAACUCGGUACUGAAGUUAACACAUUAAGUACUCCGCCUGAGUAGUACGUACGCAAGUAUGAAACUUAAAGGAAUUGACGGGACUCCGCACAAGCGGUGGAUCAUGUUGUUUAAUUCGAAGAUACACGAAAAAUCUUACCAGGUCUUGACAUACUCUGCAAAGCUAUAGAAAUAUAGUGGAGGUUAUCAGGGAUACAGGUGGUGCAUGGUUGUCGUCAGUUCGUGUCGUGAGAUGUUAGGUUAAGUCCUAAAACGAACGCAACCCUUGUCGUUAAUUGCCAGCACAUAAUGGUGGGGACUUUAACGAGACUGCCAAUUAAACAUUGGAGGAAGGUGAGGAUUACGUCAAAUCAUCAUGCCCCUUAUGAUCUGGGCUACAAACGUGAUACAAUGGCUGUGACAAAGAGUAGCUGAAACGCGAGUUUUUAGCCAAUCUCAAAAAAGCAGUCUCAGUUCGGAUUGAAGUCUGUAACUCGACUUCAUGAAGUUGGAAUCGCUAGUAAUCGCGAAU
rnacentral:rRNA from 1 species